rnacentral:rRNA from 1 species
CCUGUUGAUCCUGCAGGAGAUUGCUGCUAUUGGAAUUCGACUAAGCCAUGCAAGUCAGAGGGUCUCUUCGGAGGCACAGGCGUCAUGCUCAGUAACACGUCAAUAAUCUGCCCUUAGGUCUGGCAUAACCUCGGGAAACUGAGGCUAAAACCGGAUAAGCGAGAACAUCUGGAAUGAGUUCUCGAUUAAAGGCAACGCCUAAGGAUGAGUUGGCGGCAGAUUAGGUUGUUGGUGGGGUAAAGGCCCACCAAGCCGAAGAUCUGCAGGGGCCAUGAGAGUGGGAACCCCGAGAAGGGUACUGAAACACUGACCCUAGCCCUACGGGGUGCAGCAGGCGCGAAACCUUUACACUGCACGCAAGUGCGAUAAGGGGAUUCCAAGUGCUCAUGCUUUGCAUGGGCUUUUGCCAAGUGUAAAAGGCUUGGCGAAUAAGGGGUGGGUAAGACUGGUGCCAGCCGCCGCGGUAACCCCAGCGCCCCAAGUGGCAAUCGCGUUUAUUGGGCCUAAAGCGUUCGUAGCCGGUUUAGUAAGUUCCAGGUGAAAUCGUUCUGCUUAACAGAACGGCGUGCUUGGAGUACUACUUUACUUGGGACCGGGAGGAGUCAGAGGUAUUCCGGGGGGACCGGUAAAAUGGGAUAAUCCCCGGAGGACCACCUGUGGCGAAGGCGUCUGACUAGAACGGAUCCGACGGUGAGGGACGAAAGCUAGGGGAGCGAACCGGAUUAGAUACCCGAGUAGUCCUAGCUGUAAACGCUGCGAGCUAGAUGGUGCAUAUUCUACAUGAAUGUGCAGUGUCGGAGCGAAGGCAUUAAGCUCGCCGCCUGGGAAGUACGGUCGCAAGGCUGAAACUUAAAGGAAUUGGCGGGGGAGCACCACCAGGGGUGCGGCGUGCGGUUUAAUCUAAUUCCACGCAGAGCAUCUCACCAGAAGCGACGGCAGGAUGAAGGUCAGAUUGAAUGUCUUACCUGACGAGCCGAGAGGUAGUGCAUGGCCGUCGUCAGCUCGUACCGUGAGGUGUCCGGUUAAGUCCGGCAACGAGCAAGACCUGUACCUAUAAUUGCUAACAGAUCUUUUUAGAUGACUGAGCACAUUAUGGGGACUGCUGCGGAAACGCAGAGGAAGGUGCAGGCAACGAUAGGUCUGUAUGCUCCGAAUCUUCUGGGCUACACGCGCGCAACAAUGGUAGAGACAAUGGGAUGCAACUCCGAAAGGAGAAGCCAAUCCUCGAAACUCUAUCUAGUUCAGAUCGAGGACUGUAACUCGUCCUCGUGACGCCGGAAUCCCUAGUAAUCGCGUGUCAUCAUCGCGCGGUGAAUAUGUCCCUGCUCCUUGUACACAUCGCCCGUCAAAUCAACCGAGCCGAGCUA